rnacentral:lncRNA from 1 species
GCCUUCAUCAAAUCAAGGUCCAUAGGCACAUUUUAGUUGCCAAGUACAGCCUCAAACUCGAUAUAUGAUUCACUUCCCUUGAAGCUUUUUAUUAAAUAUCGAUCACAUUUCAGCUAUACAAUGACCACCACAUUUUAGUUAUAUAUCAGUAUCCACAUGUUUGCAUAUUAUAACAUCAACAUUAAAUGAAAUCAAUGAGAGGCCUCCCCUAGACAUAGCCAAAUCAUGUA